rnacentral:rRNA from 1 species
AUUGAACGCUGGCGGCAGGCCUAACACAUGCAAGUCGAGCGGAUGCAGGGAACUAGCUUGCGGUUACAGGGGCGGACGGGCGUACAAUUGAUGAGUACAUCCCUAGUUGUGUUUUAGGAGGUCCGGACAUAGGGGAUAAUACCCUAAUAGCACUUACGACGAACGUGGGAAAUCUUGGGAUCUCAGGAUAUUGGAUGAGUGUAGGUGGGAUUAGCGAGUUGGCGGGGUAAAGGCCUACAAAGGCGACGAUCCGUAACUGGUCUGCGAGGAUGAUCAGUCACACUGGAACUGAGACACGGUCCAGACUCCUACGGGAGGCAGCAGUGGGGAAUAUUGGACGAUGGGCGCAAGCCUGAUCCAGCCAUGCCGCGUGUGUGAAGAAGGUCUUCGGAUUGUAAAGCACUUUUGUUGGGAAGGAAGAGCAGGAAGUUAAUACCCUGCUGUUUUGACGUUACCAACAGAAUAAGCACCGGCUAACUUCGUG